rnacentral:rRNA from 1 species
UACGAGAGGCCCAAACGUUAUUCGGAAUUACUGGGCGUAAAGCGCGUGCAGGCGGUCCAUUAAGUCGUAUGUGAAAGCCCUCAGCUCAACUGAGGAACGACGUACGAAACUGAUAGACUUGAGUACGGGAGAGGGAUGCAGAAUUCCAGGUGUAGCGGUGAAAUGCGUAGAUAUCUGGAGGAAUACCGGUGGCGAAGGCGGCAUCCUGGACCGAGAUUGACACUGAUGAGCGAAAGCCAGGGGAGCAAACGGG